ensembl:snRNA RNU6-497P RNA, U6 small nuclear 497, pseudogene
AUGCUCCCUGCUGCAGUACAUAUACUAAAAUUGGAAUAACACAAAGAUUAGCAUGGCCCCUGUGCAAGGAUGACAUGCAAAUUCAUGAAGUGUUUCAUAUUAAA